rnacentral:rRNA from 1 species
UACGUAGGGCGCAAGCGUUGUCCGGAAUUAUUGGGCGUAAAGAGCUCGUAGGCGGUCUGUCGCGUCUGCUGUGAAAACCUAGGGCUUAACUCUGGGCGUGCAGUGGGUACGGGCAGGCUAGAGUGCGGUAGGGGAGACUGGAAUUCCUGGUGUAGCGGUGAAAUGCGCAGAUAUCAGGAGGAACACCGGUGGCGAAGGCGGGUCUCUGGGCCGUAACUGACGCUGAGGAGCGAAAGCAUGGGGAGCGAACAGG